AAAAAAAAAAAAAAAUCACAUAAUUUUUCACUCCCAUUUUGUCAAAAAACAGGGGAGAGAAACAAAAAUACACUUUGUGAAAGACUACAGUAAAAAAUUACAUAAAAUAUAGGAGGAGGAGAACCUAUAAGCUACCGUUACUCCACAAAGGGCUGGCUGCAGAUGUGGUUUUGUAUCUUGGGCUUUACCGAGUUUCCUGUACACAAGGGCGUUGAAUUUCCUCUCUAGUUUUUUUUCUGCCUGUGAAACCUUUAGUCGGUCAUCAUAAGUAGGAUCUGCAUCGAGCUGAUGUUCAUUUAACUCAGGUCCUGAAGCUGGAUAAUCUCUGGACGAUCCUGAAACACUGCUCCACUCACCUCAUUCCUCCUGCAUGCUGUGCAAGCAUGCUGCCUGUCAGGAUGCUGAGCAUUCUCAUCCUCCUCUUUUCACUGUGCGAUGCUGACAGCAUAUGCACAACAGAGUUCAAGAUGGAUCCACCUGAGAUUAUUGCAGAAUAUGGGGGAAGUCCUGUCAUUGUAAACUGCACCACAACAUUGGAUGAACAUGACGGGAUGUACUGGACAGUUGGAAAUGAAAUCUUUCAGCUCGAAGAUGAAGAAUUGUUUAUCUCCCAUUCAGUGCCAGUGUCAGACUGGAAUGUGACGGCCGAGUGUAAAAUGAAGUUAAAUGAGUCUUAUGAAUGCAGCAAGGACCUCAAAGUUAUUUUAUUCAAGAAUCCAGAAGUUGUUCAUUCUGUACAGCUUGUGAAUGUGAUGGGAGAAGAAACACAGUACAGACUGCAGUGUGAUAUAAUCAAUGUUGCUCCUGUUCAGUUCCUCAGUGUUAGCUGGUACAAAAACAAUGAAAACAUCAGGACAAUGUCUUUCAAUGACACAACCAAAACCCCAGUAAAUGAGUCCUCGAUUCUGAGAGUCGACAUCAGCAGAGAAGAAAAUGUAGCUCAGUUCAGAUGUGAAGCUGAGCUGGACUUUGGACCACAUGGACCAAAACUUCCUGCCAUUUCUCAAACACACAGCAUUUCAGCCCACUAUGUUCCAGAGUUAAAGACAAAUAGUACUGCUGACGUCUAUCAGUUGAGAGGUACUAAUAUCGCCUUGAGCUGUGAAGCUGAGGGAAACCCUCCUCCUGUGUAUAACUGGAUUUGUGAUGGGGAAAACAUGUUGGAGAACACAAACAGUCUCAAUAUUACUCGAGUCAAUCGCAAUAAAACCUGCACCUGCACAGCUACCAAUUAUCUGGGAAACAUAACUAAGACAAUCCAUCUUCAUGUUGAACCAAGAGGUUGCCCACUAACACUGACACCUUCUGAAACUGUUGUGAAAUUUGGAGAUCCAGUUUCAGUCAGCUGCAGCACAUCAGCCAGAUAUGUUGAAGGAAUGGGUUGGGAGGCUCCAUUUGGAGGUACAGGAUUUGAACGUCCUCCUGUUGUCACUUGGAGGGUUGAAAAACUAGAAGAGUGGAAUCCAAGUCCUUCCUGCUAUGCUACUUUGGUUGAUGGAUCCCAGUAUACUGAGAAACCAGUCAUCACUGUUUAUAAAACACCAGACAUUGUGUCAAUAUAUCCACUGAACCAAAGUCACAUGACGGAGGAACAUGUACACAUAGUGCCUUACAAUAAAAACACAAGGACACAGCACUGGUUAGGGUGUGACAUCAUCAAUGUUGCUCCUGUUCAACACCUGACUGUUAGAUGGUACAAAAAUAAUAAAACCAUCCAGACACAGUCCUUCAAUGACACAACAACUAAAAUGCCAGUAAAUGAGUCCUCUAUUCUGAGAAUCGACAUCAGCAGAGAAGAAAAAGCCAUUGAGUUCAGAUGUGAAGCUGAGCUGGACUUUGGACCACAUGGACCAAAACUUCCUGCCAUUUUUCAAACACACAGCAUUUCAGCCCACUAUGCUCCAGAGUUAAAGACAAAUAGUACUGCUGACGUCUAUCAGUUGAGAGGUACUAAUAUCGCCUUGAGCUGUGAAGCUGAGGGAAACCCUCCUCCUGUGUAUAACUGGAUUUGUGAUGGGGAAAACAUGUUGGAGAACACAAACAGUCUCAAUAUUACUCGAGUCAAUCGCAAUAAAACCUGCACCUGCACAGCUACCAAUUAUCUGGGAAACAUAACUAAGACAAUCCAUCUUCAUGUUGAACCAAGAGGUUGCCCACUAACACUGACACCUUCUGAAACUGUUGUGAAAUUUGGAGAUCCAGUUUCAGUCAGCUGCAGCACAUCAGCCAGAUAUGUUGAAGGAAUGGGUUGGGAGGCUCCAUUUGGAGGUACAGGAUUUGAACGUCCUCCUGUUGUCACUUGGAGGGUUGAAAAACUAGAAGAGUGGAAUCCAAGUCCUUCCUGCUAUGCUACUUUGGUUGAUGGAUCCCAGUAUACUGAGAAACCAGUCAUCACUGUUUAUAAAACACCAGACAUUGUGUCAAUAUAUCCACUGAACCAAAGUCACAUGACGGAGGAACAUGUACACAUAGUGCCUUACAAUAAAAACACAAGGACACAGCACUGGUUAGGGUGUGACAUCAUCAAUGUUGCUCCUGUUCAACACCUGACUGUUAGAUGGUACAAAAAUAAUAAAACCAUCCAGACACAGUCCUUCAAUGACACAACAACUAAAAUGCCAGUAAAUGAGUCCUCUAUUCUGAGAAUCGACAUCAGCAGAGAAGAAAAAGCCAUUGAGUUCAGAUGUGAAGCUGAGCUGGACUUUGGACCACAUGGACCAAAACUUCCUGCCAUUUUUCAAACACACAGAGUUUCAGCCCACUAUGCUCCUGAGAUCAACACAAGUUGUACUGUUGACAUCUCACCACUUGAGGGCACUAACAUCACCUUGAGCUGUGAAGUUGAGGGCAACCCUCCUCCUGUGUAUAACUGGACUUGUGAUGGGGAAAACAUGUUGGAGAACACAAACAGUCUCAAUAUUACUCGAGUCAAUCGCAAUAAAACCUGCACCUGCACAGCUACCAAUUAUCUGGGAAACAUAACCAAGACAAUCCAUCUUCAUGUUGAACCAAGAGGUUGUCCUCUAACUCUGGCACCUUCUGAAAUUGUUGUGAGAUUUGGAGAUCCAGUUUCAAUCAACUGCAGCACACCAGCCACAGAUGUUGUCAGAAUGGACUGGGUGGCUCCUGCUGGACACACAGGAUUUGAAAGUCUUACUGCUGCCACUUGGAUGAUUGAGAAAUUUCAAGACUGGGCAUCAAAACCUUCAUGCAACAUCACUCUAAAUGAUGAUUUUCAGUGUUCUGUGAGUCCAGUCAUCACCGUUUAUAAAGCUCCAGAAAUGGUGUCAGUUACUGAAUUGGAUAAUGCUCAAACAGCAGGGGGGACAGCAUACAAAAAUUACCCACAUACACAACAUAAACUGCAGUGUGACAUCAUAAAUGUUGCUCCUGUUCAAUAUCUCACUGUUAGCUGGUACAAAAGCAAUGAAAGGAUCCACACCCAAUUUUUCAAUGACACAACAACCAAAACUCCAGUAAAUGAGUCCUCGAUUCUGAAAAUAAACAUCAGCAGAGAAGAAAAUGUAGCUGAGUUCAGAUGUGAAGCUGAGCUGGACUUUGGACCACAUGGACCAAAACUUUAUGUCAGUUCUCAAACACACAAUGUUUCAGCCCACUAUGCUCCGGAAAAAAACACAAAGAAAAGUACUCAAGACAUUUUUCUGGUUGAGGGCACUAACAUCACCUUGAGCUGUGAAGCUGUUGGAAACCCUCCUCCUGUGUAUAACUGGACUUGCGAUGGGAAAAAUAUGUUGGAGAACACAAACAGUCUCAAUAUCACCCGAGUAAAGCACAACGCAACUUGCACCUGCACAGCUACCAAUUAUCUGGGAAACAUAACCCACACAAUCAAUGUUCAUGUGAAAAAAAGAGGUUGCCCACUAACACUGACACCUUCUGAAACUGUGGUGACAUUUGGAGAUCCAGUUUCAAUCAACUGCAGCACAUCAGCCACAGAUGUUCAAGGAAUGGGCUGGGAGGCUCCAUUUGGAGGAACAGGAUUUGAACGUCCUCCUGUUGUCACUUGGAGGGUUGAAAAACUAGAAGAGUGGACUCCAAGUCCUUUCUGCUAUGCUACCUUGGUUGAUGGAUCCCAGUGUACUGUUAGUCCAGUCAUCACUGUUUAUAAAGCUCCAGAAAUGGUGUCAGUUACUGAAUUGGAUAAUGCUCAAACAGCAAGGGGGACAGCAUACAAAAAUUACCCACAUACACAACAUAAACUGCAGUGUGACAUCAUAAAUGUUGCUCCUGUUCAAUAUCUCACUGUUAGCUGGUACAAAAGCAAUGAAAGGAUCCACACCCAGUUUUUCAAUGACACAACAACCAAAACUCCAGUAAAUGAGUCCUCGAUUCUGAAAAUAAACAUCAGCAGAGAAGAAAAUGUAGCUGAGUUCAGAUGUGAAGCUGGGCUGGACUUUGGACCACAAGGACCAAAACUUUAUGUCAAUUCUCAAACACACAGAGUUUCAGCCCACUAUGCUCCGGAGCUGAAGACACAAAAUAGUUGUUAUUACACUUAUGCACUUGAGGGCACUAAUAUCACAUUGAGCUGUGAAGCUAUUGGAAACCCUCCUCCUGUGUAUAACUGGACUUGUGAUGGGGAAAAUAUGUUGGAGAACACAAACAGUCUCAAUAUUACUCGAGUCAAUCGCAAUAAAACCUGCACCUGCACAGCUACCAAUUAUCUGGGAAACAUAACCAAGACAAUCCAUCUUCAUGUUGAACCAAGAGGUUGCCCCCUAACAGUGAACCCUUCUGAAAUUGUUGUGAGAUUUGGAGAUCCAGUUUCAGUCAACUGCAGCACAUCAGCCAGGUAUGUCACUGGAAUGGGCUGGGAGGCUCCAUUUGGAGGAACAGGAUUUGAACGUCCUCCUGUUGUCACUUGGAGGGUUGAUAAACUGGAAGAGUGGACUCCAAGUCCUUUCUGCUAUGCUACUCUGGAUGAUGGAUCCCAGUGUACUUUGAGACCAGUCAUUACUAUUUUUAAAACUCCAGACUUUGUGUCAAUCUCUGUAUUGGAUCAUAGUCUAAUUAUGCAGGACACAGAGUACAAUAACUCCACAAGGACACAGUACUGGCUGCAGUGUAACAUCAUAAAUGUUGCUCCUGUUCAGUUCCUCACUGUUAACUGGUACAAAAACAAUGAAAGCAUCAUGGCAAUGUCUUUCAAUGACACAACAACCAAAACUCCAGUAAAUGAGUCCUCGAUUCUGAAAAUAAACAUCAGCAGAGAAGAAAAUGUAGCUGAGUUCAGAUGUGAAGCUGAGCUGGACUUUGGACCACAUGGACCAAAACUUUAUGUCAGUUCUCAAACACACAAUGUUUCAGCCCACUAUGCUCCGGAAAAAAACACAAAGAAAAGUACUCAAGACAUUUUUCUGGUUGAGGGCACUAAUAUCACCUUGAGCUGUGAAGCUGUUGGAAACCCUCCUCCUGUGUAUAACUGGACUUGUGAUGGGAAAAAUAUGUUGGAGAACACAAACAGUCUCAAUAUCACCCGAGUAAAGCACAACGCAACUUGCACCUGCACAGCUACCAAUUAUCUGGGAAACAUAACCCACACAAUCAAUGUUCAUGUGAAAAAAAGAGGUUGCCCACUAACACUGACACCUUCUGAAACUGUGGUGACAUUUGGAGAUCCAGUUUCAGUCAACUGCAGCACAUCAGCCACAGAUGUUGAAGGAAUGGGCUGGGAGGCUCCAUUUGGAGGUACAGGAUUUGAGCCUCCUCCUGUUGUCACUUGGAGGGUUGAUAAACUGGAAGAGUGGACUCCAAGUCCUUUCUGCUAUGCUACUCUGGAUGAUGGAUCCCAGUGUACUUUGAGACCAGUCAUUACUAUUUUUAAAACUCCAGACUUUGUGUCAAUCUCUGUAUUGGAUCAUAGUCUAAUUAUGCAGGACACAGAGUACAAUAACUCCACAAGGACACAGUACUGGCUGCAGUGUAACAUCAUAAAUGUUGCUCCUGUUCAGUUCCUCACUGUUAACUGGUACAAAAACAAUGAAAGCAUCAUGGCAAUGUCUUUCAAUGACACAACAACCAAAACUCCAGUAAAUGAGUCCUCGAUUCUGAAAAUAAACAUCAGCAGAGAAGAAAAUGUAGCUGAGUUCAGAUGUGAAGCUGAGCUGGACUUUGGACCACAUGGACCAAAACUUUAUGUCAGUUCUCAAACACACAAUGUUUCAGCCCACUAUGCUCCGGAAAAAAACACAAAGAAAAGUACUCAAGACAUUUUUCUGGUUGAGGGCACUAAUAUCACCUUGAGCUGUGAAGCUGUUGGAAACCCUCCUCCUGUGUAUAACUGGACUUGUGAUGGGAAAAAUAUGUUGGAGAACACAAACAGUCUCAAUAUCACCCGAGUAAAGCACAACGCAACUUGCACCUGCACAGCUACCAAUUAUCUGGGAAACAUAACCCACACAAUCAAUGUUCAUGUGAAAAAAAGAGGUUGCCCACUAACACUGACACCUUCUGAAACUGUGGUGACAUUUGGAGAUCCAGUUUCAGUCAACUGCAGCACAUCAGCCACAGAUGUUGAAGGAAUGGGCUGGGAGGCUCCAUUUGGAGGUACAGGAUUUGAGCCUCCUCCCGUUGUCACUUGGAGGGUUGAAAAACUAGAAGAGUGGACUCCAAGUCCUUUCUGCUAUGUUACCUUGGUUGAUGGAUCCCAGUGUACUGUUAGUCCAGUCAUCACUGUUUAUAAAAUCCCAGACACUGUGUCAAUUUAUCCAAUGAAUCAAAGCCAAAUGAUCGAGAAACAUGUGCAUUACAAUAAGCACACAAGGACACUGCGUGGGCUGCAGUGUAACAUCAUAAAUGUUGCUCCUGUUCAGUUCCUCACUGUUAACUGGUACAAAAACAAUGAAAGCAUCAUGGCAAUGUCUUUCAAUGACACAACAACCAAAACUCCAGUAAAUGAGUCCUCGAUUCUGAAAAUAAACAUCAGCAGAGAAGAAAAUGUAGCUGAGUUCAGAUGUGAAGCUGAGCUGGACUUUGGACCACAUGGACCAAAACUUUAUGUCAGUUCUCAAACACACAAUGUUUCAGCCCACUAUGCUCCGGAAAAAAACACAAAGAAAAGUACUCAAGACAUUUUUCUGGUUGAGGGCACUAAUAUCACCUUGAGCUGUGAAGCUGUUGGAAACCCUCCUCCUGUGUAUAACUGGACUUGUGAUGGGAAAAAUAUGUUGGAGAACACAAACAGUCUCAAUAUCACCCGAGUAAAGCACAACGCAACUUGCACCUGCACAGCUACCAAUUAUCUGGGAAACAUAACCCACACAAUCAAUGUUCAUGUGAAAAAAAGAGGUUGCCCACUAACACUGACACCUUCUGAAACUGUGGUGACAUUUGGAGAUCCAGUUUCAGUCAACUGCAGCACAUCAGCCACAGAUGUUGAAGGAAUGGGCUGGGAGGCUCCAUUUGGAGGUACAGGAUUUGAGCCUCCUCCUGUUGUCACUUGGAGGGUUGAAAAACUAGAAGAGUGGACUCCAAGUCCUUUCUGCUAUGCUACCUUGGUUGAUGGAUCCCAGUGUACUGUGAGUCCAGUCAUCACUGUUUAUAAAAUACCAGACACUGUGUCAAUUUAUCCAAUGAAUCAAAGCCAAAUGAUGGAGAAACAUGUGCAUUACAAUAAGCACACAAGGACACUGCGUGGGCUGCAGUGUAACAUCAUAAAUGUUGCUCCUGUUCAGUUCCUCACUGUUAACUGGUACAAAAACAAUGAAAGCAUCAUGGCAAUGUCUUUCAAUGACACAACAACCAAAACUCCAGUAAAUGAGUCCUUGAUUCUGAAAGUAAACAUAAGCAGAGAAGAAAAUGUAGCUGAGUUCAGAUGUGAAGCUGAGCUGGACUUUGGACCACAUGGACCAAAACUUUAUAUCAGUUCUCAAACACACAAUGUUUCAGCCCACUAUGCUCCGGAGCUGAAGACACAAAUUAGUACUGAUGUCACUUAUGCACUUGAGGGCACUAAUAUCACAUUGAGCUGUGAAGCUAUUGGAAACCCUCCUCCUGUGUAUAACUGGACUUGUGAUGGGGAAAAUAUGUUGGAGAACACAAACAGUCUCAAUAUUACUCGAGUCAAUCGCAAUAAAACCUGCACCUGCACAGCUACCAAUUAUCUGGGAAACAUAACCAAGACAAUCCAUCUUCAUGUUGAACCAAGAGGUUGCCCCCUAACAGUGAACCCUUCUGAAAUUGUUGUGAGAUUUGGAGAUCCAGUUUCAGUCAACUGCAGCACAUCAGCCAGGUAUGUCACUGGAAUGGGCUGGGAGGCUCCAUUUGGAGGAACAGGAUUUGAACGUCCUCCUGUUGUCACUUGGAGGGUUGAUAAACUGGAAGAGUGGACUCCAAGUCCUUUCUGCUAUGCUACUCUGGAUGAUGGAUCCCAGUGUACUUUGAGACCAGUCAUUACUAUUUUUAAAACUCCAGACUUUGUGUCAAUCUCUGUAUUGGAUCAUAGUCUAAUUAUGCAGGACACAGAGUACAAUAACUCCACAAGGACACAGUACUGGCUGCAGUGUAACAUCAUAAAUGUUGCUCCUUUUCAGUUCCUCACUGUUAACUGGUACAAAAACAAUGAAAGCAUCAUGGCAAUGUCUUUCAAUGACACAACAACCAAAACUCCAGUAAAUGAGUCCUCGAUUCUGAAAAUAAACAUCAGCAGAGAAGAAAAUGUAGCUGAGUUCAGAUGUGAAGCUGAGCUGGACUUUGCACCACAUGGACCAAAACUUUAUAUCAGUUCUCAAACACACAAUGUUUCAGCCCACUAUGCUCCGGAGCUGAAGACACAAAAUAGUUCUUAUCACACUUAUGCACUUGAGGGCACUAAUAUCACAUUGAGCUGUGAAGCUAUUGGAAACCCUCCUCCUGUGUAUAACUGGACUUGUGAUGGGGAAAAUAUGUUGGAGAACACAAACAGUCUCAAUAUUACUCGAGUCAAUCGCAAUAAAACCUGCACCUGCACAGCUACCAAUUAUCUGGGAAACAUAACCAAGACAAUCCAUCUUCAUGUUGAACCAAGAGGUUGCUCCCUAACAGUGAACCCUUCUGAAAUUGUUGUGAGAUUUGGAGAUCCAGUUUCAGUCAACUGCAGCACAUCAGCCAGGUAUGUCACUGGAAUGGGCUGGGAGGCUCCAUUUGGAGGAACAGGAUUUGAACGUCCUCCUGUUGUCACUUGGAGGGUUGAUAAACUGGAAGAGUGGACUCCAAGUCCUUUCUGCUAUGCUACUCUGGAUGAUGGAUCCCAGUGUACUUUGAGACCAGUCAUUACUAUUUUUAAAACUCCAGACUUUGUGUCAAUCUCUGUAUUGGAUCAUAGUCUAAUUAUGCAGGACACAGAGUACAAUAACUCCACAAGGACACAGUACUGGCUGCAGUGUAACAUCAUAAAUGUUGCUCCUGUUCAGUUCCUCACUGUUAACUGGUACAAAAACAAUGAAAGCAUCAUGGCAAUGUCUUUCAAUGACACAACAACCAAAACUCCAGUAAAUGAGUCCUCGAUUCUGAAAAUAAACAUCAGCAGAGAAGAAAAUGUAGCUGAGUUCAGAUGUGAAGCUGAGCUGGACUUUGGACCACAUGGACCAAAACUUUAUGUCAGUUCUCAAACACACAAUGUUUCAGCCCACUAUGCUCCGGAAAAAAACACAAAGAAAAGUACUCAAGACAUUUUUCUGGUUGAGGGCACUAAUAUCACCUUGAGCUGUGAAGCUGUUGGAAACCCUCCUCCUGUGUAUAACUGGACUUGUGAUGGGAAAAAUAUGUUGGAGAACACAAACAGUCUCAAUAUCACCCGAGUAAAGCACAACGCAACUUGCACCUGCACAGCUACCAAUUAUCUGGGAAACAUAACCCACACAAUCAAUGUUCAUGUGAAAAAAAGAGGUUGCCCACUAACACUGACACCUUCUGAAACUGUGGUGACAUUUGGAGAUCCAGUUUCAGUCAACUGCAGCACAUCAGCCACAGAUGUUGAAGGAAUGGGCUGGGAGGCUCCAUUUGGAGGUACAGGAUUUGAGCCUCCUCCUGUUGUCACUUGGAGGGUUGAAAAACUAGAAGAGUGGACUCCAAGUCCUUUCUGCUAUGCUACCUUGGUUGAUGGAUCCCAGUGUACUGUGAGUCCAGUCAUCACUGUUUAUAAAAUACCAGACACUGUGUCAAUUUAUCCAAUGAAUCAAAGCCAAAUGAUGGAGAAACAUGUGCAUUACAAUAAGCACACAAGGACACUGCGUGGGCUGCAGUGUAACAUCAUAAAUGUUGCUCCUGUUCAGUUCCUCACUGUUAACUGGUACAAAAACAAUGAAAGCAUCAUGGCAAUGUCUUUCAAUGACACAACAACCAAAACUCCAGUAAAUGAGUCCUUGAUUCUGAAAGUAAACAUAAGCAGAGAAGAAAAUGUAGCUGAGUUCAGAUGUGAAGCUGAGCUGGACUUUGGACCACAUGGACCAAAACUUUAUAUCAGUUCUCAAACACACAAUGUUUCAGCCCACUAUGCUCCGGAGCUGAAGACACAAAUUAGUACUGAUGUCACUUAUGCACUUGAGGGCACUAAUAUCACAUUGAGCUGUGAAGCUAUUGGAAAUCCUCUUCCUGUGUAUAACUGGACUUGUGAUGGGGAAAAUAUGUUGGAGAACACAAACAGUCUCAAUAUUACUCGAGUCAAUCGCAAUAAAACCUGCACCUGCACAGCUACCAAUUAUCUGGGAAACAUAACCAAGACAAUCCAUCUUCAUGUUGAACCAAGAGGUUGCCCCCUAACAGUGAACCCUUCUGAAAUUGUUGUGAGAUUUGGAGAUCCAGUUUCAGUCAACUGCAGCACAUCAGCCAGGUAUGUCACUGGAAUGGGCUGGGAGGCUCCAUUUGGAGGAACAGGAUUCAAACCUCCUCCUGUUGUCACUUGGAGGGUUGAUAAACUGGAAGAGUGGACUCCAAGUCCUUUCUGCUAUGCUACUCUGGCUGAUGGAUCCCGGUGCACUUCCCAUCCAGUCAUCAUUGUUUAUAAAACUCCAGACUUUGUGUCAGUCCCUGACAUGGCUCGUGGUCCAAUGGUGGAGGGCAUAGGGUACAAUUUGAAAUGUGAUAUCUACAAUGUUGCUCCUGUUCAAAAUCUCAUAGUGAAGUGGUACAGAGGCAAUGAAACUGUGCUCACACAGACAUUCAAUGGAUCUGCUCUGACUCCAGUCAACACAUCUUCUACUCUGAGAAUCUCCACUCAGAGAGAUUACAAUGGAUUAACUUUUAGAUGUGAGGCUGCGCUGCACCUCGGACCCAAAGGACCAAAGUUCCCCCCUAAUGUAACCUCACCACCUUACACUGCUGUUGUUCUCUAUAAGCCAUUAAUGAAAGCUUGUCCAGACCACGUCACUGUUGUUGAAAAUGCUGCCUUCAGCAUUGACAUGUUACCUUGUCAACCUGAUGGGAGCCCUCCUCCCACUGUUCAGUGGUUCUAUGAGGAGAAACUCAUCAAUCCAUCUAAGUCACUGACCAGGACUGACUCUGGAAAGUACACGGCUGUAGUUGAAAACAGUCUUGGCAGAAGCAACACCUCAGUUCAUAUCACAGUGGAACACAGUCCUUCUUUCACCUGCAAAGAGCACUAUGAGGUCACAGUGAAUGAUAAACCUCAAAGUAUCUGUGAACCAGUAGGAUUACCUACACCCACCCUCACCUGGUUUAAAGAUGGUAAACAGAUGGUUUCCCCACAGCGCUGGAAAAAGAAUGAUAGUGGAAAAUACUUGCUUAAUGCACACAACACACAUGGAACAGCUGAACACACACUGUAUCUUGAAAUUUUGUAUGCCCCUGAGUUCAAGGAAGGAAAUGAAAGCAAGGAGGUGCUGCAGGGUGAGAAUGUUACUUUAAGCUGUAGUGCUGACAGUAACCCACCCUCAAACAUCAGAUGGAUCUACACAGCUGCUGAGAAUUCAAACGUGACCACUGAGGGGCACCAGAAGAUAAUCACUAUCACUAGAGCCACGUCUACCAAUGCUGGUUAUUACAUUUGUGUUGCAGAGAAUAAAGUUGGGAGAAAUAAAAGAUUCAUCACACUGAUGAUAACAGGUAAAAGCAGUAAAAUCCUAUUUCCAAUCAUUUGGGUGUCGCUCACUCUAUUGAUCAUCAGUCUGAUUCUUCUUGUGGUCUGUUGUCGCAUUUGCCAAAAAAAACGUGGACAUUACAGUUUUUUUCCUGUCAAAGUGCCAAAUGUCUCAAAUAUCCCUUUGACUACUGCACAAACCAAUGGAAAAGCUUGGGAUUUUUAAUAAAUUCUGUUCUGCACAUCAAAUUUUGCCCCCUGGCCUGGUGGGUUUCAGGGAGGGAGGUGAUCCAAAAUCCUGCAACUGUUUAUUAAAAUACAGAAGAAUGGAUCAUGUACUUGUUUACAGCUUUGAUCGCAGGAUUUAUUCUACUUCCUUAAACAAAGAGAGACAAACUCAAUCUCUUUCUAUGAUGACCAGCAUCUCUUUGAAAGGUAUGGCACGACAGAUGUUAAUACAUUGCCAAGAAGUGCAUGAAUAUCAUUACAUGAGAACUGAAGCACGAUAGAGUGACUCAUGUUCAUGAAUGUUCUUCUCUAGUUGUACUUGAAAUACACAGUGACCAUUGUAACAAUAUCUCAACAUUUGUUCACAUUAACAAUGGUAAUGUGGUAACAUUAACGAUUUGUUCAGGUUACCCAAAUAUAUCUCAUGCAUCACCAAAUACAAUAUAUUAUAAACUCAAAGCAAGCAACUAAUAAAUAAGCCUCAAUACAAAGCCUAUUCAUUAAAAAAUUUGUAGGCCUACAUUACUUUUUGCAUCCCCUCUUAUCUCAAAAAUACAUUAAAAUUUAAAGUCCAAUUAAUUUAUUGUCACAAAUACAAUUUCUAUUUCUUUCGCAUAGCUAAUGCACUUGAAGCACACUUUGCCUGCUAAGGUCUGCUGGCCGACUAUGACGAUAUAGAAGUGACAAUCUCACUUUAAGAACAGUACUUCAUCAUUUUCCAGAGUUAUAUUUCACUUUAACAGGUUCACAACAGUCUUAUUAUUUCUGCUGUGUUACAUACAAGCCAUUUUAAGGACUAUUAAUCAAACCUGUAUAUUAAAAUGUUUAUUCAGAAACACUUGUGUACUCUAUUUGGAAUAAAAUCUUAUUUUUAUA